AUGUUAUUUGAGCAGGGUCAGCAGGCCCCGGAGGUUCCUGAGUACACGAUGCAGAAGGCUGCUUACUAUGAGAACCCAGGACUCUUCGGAGGCUAUGGCUACAGCAAAGCUGCUGACACUUAUGGCUAUAGUGCCCCCCAUCAGCCUUAUCCAACCCCUGCUGCUGCCAACUCCAUGGACACUGAUUACCCGGGCUCUGCCUGCUCCAUCCAGAGCUCUGCACCUCUGCGAGCCCCAGCCCAUAAGGCAGCUGAACUCAAUGGAAGCUGCAUGAGGCCUGGCACUGGGAACAGCCAAGGUGGGGGUGGUGGCAGCCAGCCUCCAGGUCUGAACUCAGAGCAGCAGCCACCACAGCCCCCUCCACCGCCACCGCCACCAGCCCUGCCCCCAUCCUCUCCCACCAACCCUGGAGGUGGAGUACCUGCCAAGAAGGCCAAGGGUGGGCCCAAUGCUUCUGGCUCCUCAGCCACCAUCAGCAAGCAGAUCUUUCCCUGGAUGAAAGAGUCCCGCCAGAACUCCAAGCAGAAGAACAGCUGUGCCACUGCAGGAGAGAGCGGCGAGGACAAGAGCCCGCCGGGCCCAGCGUCCAAGCGGGUACGCACGGCGUACACAAGUGCACAGCUGGUGGAGCUGGAAAAGGAAUUCCACUUCAAUCGCUACUUGUGCCGGCCACGCCGCGUGGAGAUGGCCAACCUGCUGAACCUCACCGAGCGGCAGAUCAAGAUCUGGUUCCAGAACCGGCGCAUGAAGUACAAGAAGGACCAGAAGGCCAAGGGCAUCCUGCACUCGCCGGCGGGUCAGUCUCCGGAGCGCAGCCCGCCGCUCGGCGGCGCCGCGGGCCACGUGGCCUACUCAGGCCAGCUGCCACCCGUGCCCGGCCUGGCCUACGACGCGCCCUCGCCGCCCGCCUUCGCCAAAUCUCAGCCCAACAUGUACGGCUUGGCCGCCUACACGGCGCCGCUCAGCAGCUGCUUGCCUCAGCAGAAGCGCUACGCGGCGCCCGAGUUCGAGCCCCACCCCAUGGCGAGCAACGGCGGCGGCUUCGCCAGCGCCAACCUGCAGGGCAGCCCGGUGUACGUGGGCGGCAACUUCGUCGACUCCAUGGCGCCCGCGUCCGGGCCCGUCUUCAACCUGGGCCACCUCUCGCACCCCUCUUCGGCCAGCGUGGACUACAGUUGCGCCGCGCAGAUUCCCGGCAACCACCACCACGGACCGUGUGACCCUCAUCCCACCUACACAGAUCUCUCGGCCCACCACUCGUCUCAGGGACGCCUGCCCGAGGCCCCCAAACUGACGCAUCUGUAGCGGCCGCCACCGGCCCGAACUCGAGGCGCGAUUACCUCUCUGGCUUUGGUGGCGGGGGUGGCGGGCGGGGCCCGCGGGGCAGCUCGGAGACUUCCCCACUCCCUCGCUCUGGCCCGGUCCGCUGCCUCCCGGUCUCUGGGCCAACAGCGGCCGAGGCGCAGGCGCCUGGGCCUCCUUUCCAGGCGCACCCUGCUUUGGGUGACUCGCCGUAAAUCAGCCGCGAGGAUUCUCCGCUGUUAAACCUGACCGUGCCACAUACUGCGGACCGAGGGACUCUAAUCUGGUAAUGGUGUCCCGAAGCGGUUCCGCCUACUUCGGAGCAAGUCCGGGCCAGCUGGGAUCCGACCAGAAACCGCAAGCGGAGGAGACGCGGAUACGCAGGCUGAGCGGUAACGGAGGGCGCGACCUGCCGCCCCAGGCCCGAGGGUAGCGCCGCCCCGUCCUCCCCGCGCCUGGGACCGCAGCAGCCGCGCCCGCGGGCCACGCAGGGCGCCCGGGUCCCCCAGCGUCCCGGCCCCACCUCCACGCCCCCCUCCGCGCACUUCCCGCUUGCCCCAGUGACACCCUUCACCGCGGCUGUCCCCCCAGAAAGGGACAAACCCGACUCUGAGGGCAGGACGAGAAGAAACCUCAAUAGGUGGGAAGGUUCUUGCAAACACUUUAAGAGUUUAAUAAAGGAUGUCCCGAGGGAUCAGAAUUCAGGGGAGACGCUGAACGAGUUCUCUCAUUGAUCUUCAGGACUAUUUCCUGUUUGUAUGGGAGGUUAAGAACCCCUGUUGAACUUGGAACUAAACUUGAAUGCCAUUUAAAAUAACCAUUAAAAUACACUUAAAACACUAA